CCUACGGGAGGCAGCAGUGGGGGAUAUUGGACAAUGGGGGGAACCCUGGUCCAGCGACGCCGCGUGAGUGAAGAAGUAUCUCGGUAUGUAAAGCUCUAUCAGCAGGGAAGCAGAAAUGACGGUACCUGAGUAAGAAGCCCCGGCUAACUACGUGCCAGCAGCCGCGGUAAUACGUAGGGGGCAAGCGUUAUCCGGAAUUACUGGGGGUAAAGGGAGCGUAGACGGUUAUGUAAGUCUGGAGUGAAAGGCGGGGGCCCAACCCCCGGACUGCUGUGGAAACUAUGUGACUGGAGUGCAGGAGAGGUGAGCGGAAUUCCUAGUGUAGCGGUGAAAUGCGUAGAUAUUAGGAGGAACACCAGUGGCGAAGGCGGCUAACUGGACUGUAACUGACGUUGAGGCUCGAAAGCGUGGGGAGCAAACAGGAUUAGAUACCCCUGUAGUC
rnacentral:rRNA from 1 species